AGAAGAUGUGAGGUUAAAGGACCUUGGC
rnacentral:piRNA from 1 species